rnacentral:rRNA from 1 species
AUGCACGCUGGCGGCGUGCCUAAUCCAUGCAAGUCGCGCGAACGGACGAGAAGCUUGCUUCUCUGAUGUUAGCGGCGGACGGGUGAGUAACACGUGGAUAACCUACCUAUAAGACUGGGAUAACUUCGGGAAACCGGAGCUAAUACCGGAUGAUAUUUUGAACCGCAUGGUUCAAAAGUGAAAGACGGUCUUGCUGUCACUUAUAGAUGGAUCCGCGCUGCAUUAGCUAGUUGGUAAGGUAACGGCUUACCAAGGCAACGAUGCAUAGCCGACCUGAGAGGGUGAUCGGCCACACUGGAACUGAGACACGGUCCAGACUCCUACGGGAGGCAGCAGUAGGGAAUCUUCCGCAAUGGGCGAAAGCCUGACGGAGCAACGCCGCGUGAGUGAUGAAGGUCUUCGGAUCGUAAAACUCUGUUAUUAGGGAAGAACAUAUGUGUAAGUAACUGUGCACAUCUUGACGGUACCUAAUCAGAAAGCCACGGCUAACUACGUG